UGUUUCAAGAUUUUCAUCGCCAUUACAAUGAUUGCUACUUCCUAUUCUUGAGAGGAUUCAGAAACAAGCCCAAGCCAUCUUCUUGAGCCUCUUUGGGGCCUCUUGGCGAGGACAGGGGUGUUUCCUCUUGGAAGAAAGCAGCAGGAUGCCACAGGAGUGGUAA
rnacentral:lncRNA from 1 species